rnacentral:rRNA from 1 species
AAAAGAAACUUUGGAGAGAGAGUUAAAAGCACGUGAAGCCGUUGAAAGGGAAACGCGCUCGGCUAGCAAUGUGCCACGACGGUUCAGCCGUUUUGGGCGGCGAGAUGGCUGCUGUCGGAUCCGAAUGGACCGCGGUGGUUGUCGUCGUCGCACCGAAAUGCGGUGCACUCUUUCGUGGUACGCGUCAGCGUCGGUUCGUAGCGGGCGACAAGGCCUUGCGGAAGGUAGCUCGGGGCUUGCUCUGAGUGUUAUAGACGCAGGUGCUGGGUCUGCUGCGGACCGAGGAGAGAGAGUAUCGUUGCAGCGCAUGCCGCAAGGCUAGCUACCUGCUGUCCGGCUCGCUUCACGGAUUGAGGACUGCUCGCAGUGCUCGGCCCGGCGGGGUGGUCUGGCGGUGGUGUGGUAUAAAUGCGCUCAGGACGCUGGCGUCCAAAUGGCCGUGCGUGACCCGUCUUGAAAACACG